rnacentral:rRNA from 1 species
AGGGUUCGAUUCUGGCUCAGGAUGAACGCUAGCUACAGGCUUAACACAUGCAAGUCGAGGGGUAGCAGGAUCUAGCAAUAGAUUGCUGACGACCGGCGCACGGGUGAGUAACACGUAUCCAACUUCCGUUUACUCGGGGAUAGCCUUUCGAAAGAAAGGUUAAUACCCGAUAGUAUGUUUUUCCCGCAUGGGAGAACCAUUAAAGUUUUUCGGUAAUCGAUGGGGAUGCGUUCCAUUAGGCAGUUGGUGAGGUAACGGCUCACCAAACCUUCGAUGGAUAGGGGUUCUGAGAGGAAGGUCCCCCCACAUUGGAACUGAGACACGGUCCAAACUCCUACGGGAGGCAGCAGUGAGGAAUAUUGGUCAAUGGACGAGAGUCUGAACCAGCCAAGUAGCGUGAAGGAUGACUGCCCUAUGGGUUGUAAACUUCCUUUAUAUGGGAAUAAAGGAGCCUACGUGUAGGUUUUUGUAUGUACCAUACGAAUGAGGAUCGGCUAACUCCGUGCCAGCCGCCGC